GGGUCUCUACAAAUCAGGAGUUUGAAGAGCUUGAUGUUUAUCAGUCUGCAGCUUUGUAGCCUUGCAACAUUGCUUUUAUUGCUGAUCAAUUUGACACCAACACAGAAAAUGGAAGGGGAAUUUGAGAGCUUCUAUAAUUGGUGGUACUUCACUUUUACCAUUACACUUGUAGCAUAGCACUCACUAGUUAGGUGGUCAUGAUUUAAAUCACAAUAGGCUUGACUACAUUAUAGGUUCCUUCAUUUAUCAAUAUUGUUCAUAAAGUAACAUCACGAGUGGUAAAACACCAUGGUUUGGUGGUCAUAAUUGAAAUCAUAUUAAGCUUGAAUACUAGAUGUGGAGAAGCUAUUGGACAUACUAGGCACUAGAUGAAAAGCAACUUAGAGCAACUUGAUCAUACUCUCAUGCUGCUAAUGUCUAAACUUGAGAAUUGAACUUUUAUUAUCUCAUGUUCAUGGAUAUAUGCUUGCAUUCGCAGACUUAGGUUAGUUCAAUUGAGGCUGCUCAACAAUAACUGAGAAUAAAGAUUACUUUAGUAAUACAUUCUUGUUUGAGAUAGUAGCUUAACUGGUUUCACAUGUGGCUUACUUUAAGGCUUCAUUUGGUUGAAGGUUUGAUGCUAAUAACUUGUCCUAUGUGUUCAAAUUGAUAAGGGUUACAUAUUUAUUUGAUUGCUUAUGACUUUUAUGUUUUUGUUUGUUAAAUUAUGUUUAAAAGGGUUGAAGAUUUGAACCAUUUUCUGC
rnacentral:lncRNA from 1 species